rnacentral:rRNA from 1 species
UAGGGAAUCUUCCACAAUGGACGAAAGUCUGAUGGAGCAACGCCGCGUGGGUGAAGAAGGUUUUCGGAUCGUAAAGCUCUGUUGUUGGUGAAGAAGGAUAGAGGCAGUAACUGGUCUUUAUUUGACGGUAAUCAACCAGAAAGUCACGGCUAACUACGUGCCAG